rnacentral:rRNA from 1 species
CUAUGCGCCUUGCCAGCCCGCUCAGGUGUGCCAGCAGCCGCGGUAAUACGUAGGGGCAAGCGUUAUCCGGAUUUACUGGGUGUAAAGGGAGCGUAGACGGUUAUGCAAGUCUGGAGUGAAAGCCCGGGGCUCAACCCCGGGACUGCUUUGGAAAACUGUAAAACUGGAGUGCAGGAGAGGCAGGCGGAAUUCCUAGUGUAGCGGUGAAAUGCGUAGAUAUUAGGAGGAACACCAGUGGCGAAGGCGGCCUGCUGGACUGUAACUGACGUUGAGGCUCGAAGGCGUGGGGAGCAAACAGG